UACGUAGGGGGGCAAGCGUUGUCCGGAAUCAUUGGGCGUAAAGAGCGUGUAGGCGGCCCGGUAAGUCCGCUGUGAAAGUCCAGGGCUCAACCCUGGGAUGCCGGUGGAUACUGUCGGGCUCGAGUCCGGAAGAGGAGUGUGGAAUUCCUGGUGUAGCGGUGAAAUGCGCAGAUAUCAGGAGGAACACCAAUUGCGAAGGCAGCUCGCUGGAACGUGACUGACGCUGAGACGCGAAAGCGUGGGGAGCAAACAGG
rnacentral:rRNA from 1 species